CCUAUGCAAGCCUAUAUUUAUGUACUCAAGACUGAUUUUAAAGCAGCAAAUUUUUGGUGGUUGAAAUUUCAUAUAUCGAAAUUGACCGCCAAGUAUAAAUACGAUCAGCAAUUCCAACGAUCAUCGCAUUUCUGGUUUGCAACUCGAAGUAGAUACAACGAAAACGUUCGACGACAAAAAGUGAGUGUGGCUCUGUGCCACUAUAAUGGCCCUUUUCUGUGAGGCUGGUUCUCUCGAAUUGGGCCCAAACUAAAAAACUAUCUUUGUGCAUAAGAGUGAAACUUGAUAUUGUAUCAAUACAAGAAAAAAAAAAUAUAAGAACUUCAAUCUUGUGAAUUAAUUCAGAAAAAAAAAGAGAAACUUUAUCCAGAAUAAUUUCCAAUCCAAAUCAUCAAAUUGAAUAUACAAAGUGCAAUGUGUGUAUUUGUAUCUGAACAAAAAACAAUACAAACUUUAAAACGAAAAAAAAAAGUAUCUUUUUGAUUCUGUGUGUUUUGUUUGAAAGUGACAGCGACGAUGACAAUCAACCAUCGAACGAAAGAGAAAGUAACGAUAACUCUCCACUAUAGUCUCCAGUACCGUCAACACAAAAAAAAUCACCAUAAUCAUGAAAUGAGAUACAUCAUAAUUAAUAAAUUAUGAUCAGUAUCUUUUUCUCUCUGUGCGACCAAAGCAAUAGAUACUUUUUUUCAUCAAAUCCCUCUCUCACAAAAAAGCUGCUGGAUGCAAGGUGUAUUUUGUCUGUAUGAUGAUGAUGAUGAAUUCAAAUUUAUUAUCUCUUUGGAAAAAAUAUUCUUCCGUGGAAAAUGCUGUAACAACGUAGUCAUCCAACCGACACACAAAAAACCAGCCAUUGCGAGGGAUUUCUGCAGUUUUUGUCUUCUUGAUGGAUUAACCGAUGUAACGAACCCACUAUCAUCCCCACCACUAGCAGUUGAAACCAAGGAAAAUCUCCCUUAAGCAAUCCAGAAUUUUUUUUUUUUCAUGUGGGAGAUAAUAUUUUAUUCAUUUUCAUCACCAAAAAAAAAAAAAACAACUUCGCUCCAAAGGGGAUUAUGAAAGUAACAA